AUGAAGCGCUUGGAGGAGGCAUGUCAGUUCCCGUGCAUUCCUGCUGAAAGCAGAGCUGGGACUGUGAGACUACGCCAACCUUUCCCUUGUGUAAUGUCAAUGUCGGCUAUCACUUUGGCAGAAUCACCCAGCUCAGUGAAGACAGAAAACCCCUCCUUUCCUCCUGUUUUUUCAUCUGCUGGUGGCAUUCCAAGUGACCUUCCCUCAUAAAUAUUGGUUCGAGAUUUGGUGCCACAGAAUUUACACAACCAAGAAGACCACAGGAAACAACAGCCUCAGAAGGGAAACAAAGAGUUUUCAAUGUGUUCAUAUUGCAUUAAUUUUUUUAGAAGAAUACCUAAUACUCACUUAAAUUAAAAUUCACAGCAAAAGAAAGAACUGGAGGUGUUGGUUACCCUGUGCGUUGCCACAACUGGAGACUUACAAAAUAGGAAAGGAUCAUAAAACAUUAUUAUGUAAAAUAAAGAAAUUUGAGCUUUUCUGUAAACAAAUGGAGUCUAAUUUCCUUUUUACGUUACUGUACCUCUUUUU
rnacentral:lncRNA from 1 species